GAACGCUGGCGGCGUGCCUAAUACAUGCAAGUCGAGCGAACGGACGAGAAGCUUGCUUCUCUGAUGUUAGCGGCGGACGGGUGAGUAACACGUGGAUAACCUACCUAUAAGACUGGGAUAACUUCGGGAAACCGGAGCUAAUACCGGAUAAUAUUUUGAACCGCAUGGUUCAAAAGUGAAAGACGGUCUUGCUGUCACUUAUAGAUGGAUCCGCGCUGCAUUAGCUAGUUGGUAAGGUAACGGCUUACCAAGGCAACGAUGCAUAGCCGACCUGAGAGGGUGAUCGGCCACACUGGAACUGAGACACGGUCCAGACUCCUACGGGAGGCAGCAGUAGGGAAUCUUCCGCAAUGGGCGAAAGCCUGACGGAGCAACGCCGCGUGAGUGAUGAAGGUCUUCGGAUCGUAAAACUCUGUUAUUAGGGAAGAACAUAUGUGUAAGUAACUGUGCACAUCUUGACGGUACCUAAUCAGAAAGCCACGGCUAACUACGUGCCAGCAGCCGCGGUAAUACGUAGGUGGCAAGCGUUAUCCGGAAUUAUUGGGCGUAAAGCGCGCGUAGGCGGUUUAAGUCUGAUGUGAAAAGCCCACGGCUCAACCGUGGAGGGUCAUUGGAAACUGGAAAACUUGAGUGCAGAAGAGGAAAGUGGAAUUCCAUGUGUAGCGGUGAAAUGCGCAGAGAUAUGGAGGAACACCAGUGGCGAAGGCGACUUUCUGGUCUGUAACUGACGCUGAUGUGCGAAAGCGUGGGGAUCAAACAGGAUUAGAUACCCUGGUAGUCCACGCCGUAAACGAUGAGUGCUAAGUG
rnacentral:rRNA from 1 species